rnacentral:tRNA from 1 species
GGGCGGGUGGCGAAGAGGCUAACGCUGAGGUCUGCAAAAUCUCCAUUCACCGGUUCGAAUCCGGUCCCGCCCUCCA